GCAGGUCAGUGCAAAAACUCAUAUAGAUUUUCAUAUGUAUAUGCAAAACCACUUGACAUCCAAAAUAACUUUGAGGUGAUUCAAGAACAGCAAUGUAGAGGUGUGGUUACACAGUAAAAGAAGCAUGUGCUUUGGACUCCAAUGGGCCUAGCCCUUCACAACUUACCAGUUACUACCUUUGUCAAACCACUUAAGCUGUUUAGGCCUCAGUUGCCUUGUAUGUAAAUGUAGACAAGACUUCUACAUAGGGGAUUGCUAUAAAGACUGAUAAUGAUGUGUCAAUGGGAGUCGAUGCUUGGUAAGUGGGAAUUAUUGAUAAAGCAAAUGAAAGUGGAAAAACACUUGAGAUGGUGAUUCACUUUAGUGUGGUGGGGAGGAAUGUACGCAGAAGGUUGGGAGGGUCAAGAGGAGCCAGAGGCCAGCUGGGGAGCCCUGACUAAACUUGGAGCAACUGUCUCCAACCUGAACCAAAGCAGUGACUGUGAGAAUGGAGAAAAGCAAUAGAACCUAGCCACAUGGAUGGGAUUGAAAAUGGAAAACCUGUAGUAAAGGCAGGAGGAGCAGUGGCCACACCCCUUGUUUCUUCAAUAACUUUUCCCUUUACCCAUAUCGUACUCAAAGCAUGUAAUGUUUUUUAAAAGUCCUGAAUAUAUGAAUCAUUAAAUACGCGAAAGACUGAAGAAAUAGUAACAGAGUUUAUAUUUCUAGGUAAUGAAAGUGCCCGCAAUGAAAAUAUGUUACAUAACAUACCCUUCCGCAAUAAGCUUCCUACUCGACUCCAAGGUGAAAAGGAAUUCAGUUUCUGUUGCAGGAAAGAUUAUUAAAGAAGGUUAUUAUAAUGAAACCCAAAAAUCUGCAGACACUCUGCUUUCUGAGCGAAGCAAGCUUGCAUUUGGAUUGCCUACUAUCUUCAGGGAAAAUACCAUGAAAGCAGAAGUAAACCUCUGGAUUUCACAAUUUGUUAUUGCCACAAUUUAA
rnacentral:lncRNA from 1 species